rnacentral:lncRNA from 1 species
AGCUGAGGCAAUGCUCUAGAGAUGGUCACAGGUAUAAGCUGUUAGCUAGAGCAAUUUCAGCAGCUGGGAGGUGAGCUUAUCUAUCCACAAAGGUUAUCUGAGAGGGGCAACAACUUCUACUGCUGUUAGUUUACCUUUGGGUAUAAACCUCAACUUUGAGGAAAGAGUUAAAUUCAAUGGAAAACAAAUUUGUUGAGUGCCUACUAUGUGCAAAACAGUAUGUUGGGGCAAAAGGGGAACACAAUGUGGAAGAUCUGUUGCCCUCAAGAAGAAAAAACUGUGCAUAUCAGCAAGGUAUCUCUUCCUGAGGCCGGUCUUCGUUAGCGAGCUUGGUAAGUUGUGAUUUCCUAUGAAGCUCUACUCUCUAUACUGUACUAUUCCUAUAAAGAUAGUCAAAUACAUUUUAAAAUACAUACUUUAAAAUUAGAUAUAGGUAAAUUGUCUCCAAGGUUAUUUCUACUGCUUGAAACUCAUUGUGAAUAUAAAAGAGCUGACUUCAAAAGUUUAGACCCCUUCCACUCAUGUAGAAAGGAAAACAUUACGUACCACAGCUAAAGGAAAAUUAAAAUUAAGCACAAAUAUUUGAGACCUUUAUUUGGUUGUACCUUUGGUAUUAGAAUUACAAAAACUAUAAUAAGGAAUCCUGUGUUUCCUGUGUUUCUAGUGGUCAACAUUUGCAGACUUGGGUAUUAAAUGGAAAACAUAAAUUAUGUUUUCAGGCUUUAUGAAAUAUAGUUUGACUUCUCAGCUUUACUGAAAAUGAAGCCCCUGUUAUUGCAUUAUUUUAUUCAUCAAGAGAUGUGUAAUAAAAAAGUGUUCUAAAGAAGCAAAAUGAGUGCCCACUUUAGUAAACAUAGGAAAAAUUUCCCUUAUAAGGUAUGACUCUUUAAUUCCACCUGGAAUUCAUAAAUUAAAGAGAAGUAUAUUUAGAAUUUAUUCUCUUGACAGAGGAAUUUUUAUUUGAAACAGACCUUUUAAUUUAUUUAGGAUGUGUUGAUAACUACUGCACUCAGAAAACACCUAGAUCAGGGGAUUAGAGGAUUAUUCUGACUGCCUGACAGAGAUGACCUACAAUCAGAUUUAAUUAUCUCCUUUUCACCAAGAAAAUGAAGUGGGACUAUCCCUGCUAUUUCUGUUCCUAUUUCUAUGCAAACCUUUCUUUCAAGGCUGCCUUUAGUGUACAUGUGGCACCUACUGGGUGCUGGCUGUGUCCUAGCAUCCCAGAUAUAGCAAUGAACAAAGAGGAAUGGCUGUUGUCAUUGUGGCAUUUCUAGUCUAGUAGAAACAACAGGCAUUUACUCAUUUUCAAGAAUUAAUUUGGUGAUCAUAGUUGUACAAAGUGCUGUGAAGGAGCUUGUGGUUUGGAAAUACAUGGUGCUCUUAAUCUUAACAGUACAGAACAGGGACGUUUUGGCAGAGGUAGAGGAAGGAUGGCCUAAAGAUAAUUUGCCCCAAUCUGAACCUUCUCUGGGAUGGUCCUGAUUACUGUAUCUCUGUGUUGGAUCCAGGAGUUUUGUUUGAAGAGUAAUAUUGGUUGUGUCUGUGACUGGGCUUCUACAAAUGACAUUUGGAAAAUACAGGAAUAUCAGGACAGUGGGAAUGGAGACAAGGAAAGCUCAGAAGUUUCUCGUUUUCAUGCAGUAACCUAAAAAAAAAAGUGAAAUAACAUUCCUAUAAUAAAACACUGUUCGUGGCUAUUUUUACAUCAGUAUUUUAAAGACAUCUUUGUUUUCAACCAGAUUAAGGCUUUAUACUAUUUCAGAAUUUCAUUGAGACUCAAGGUCAGAAAUACUCAAUUCUUCAAAAUGAGCAAAAAGUAAAAAGUAACAAUAAUUUUUGUGUAAGGACACAGCUUUAAUUACUUUGUCUCCCAAUUUAGUUCUGUGAUUUAAAAGUAACUGGUGAAUUAGAUGAGAAUAUACUCCAUUUAACCAGAAA